rnacentral:rRNA from 1 species
CCUACGGGUGGCAGCAGUGGGGGAUAUUGCACAAUGGGGGGAACCCUGAUGCAGCGACGCCGCGUGGGUGAAGGAGCGUUUCGGCGCGUAAAGCCCUAUCGGCAGGGAAGAAGAAGGACGGUACCUGACUAAGAAGCCACGGCUAAGUAAGUGACCGCAGCCGCGGUAAUACGUAGGUGGCAAGCGUUGUCCGGAUUUACUGGGUGUAACGGGCGUGUAGCCGGGAAGGCAAGUCAGAUGUGAAAUCUGGAGGCUCAACCUCCAAAUUGCAUUUGAAACUGUGUUUCUUGAGUACUGGAGAGGCAGACGGAAUUCCUGGUGUAGCGGUGAAAUGCGUAGAUAUAAGGAGGAACACCAGUGGCGAAGGCGGUCUGCUGGACAGCAACUGACGGUGAGGCGCGAAAGCGUGGGGAGCAAACAGGAUUAGAUACCCCAGUAGUC